rnacentral:rRNA from 1 species
UACGUAGGGUGCGAGCGUUGUCCGGAAUUACUGGGCGUAAAGAGCUCGUAGGUGGUUUGUCGCGUUGUCCGUGAAAUUCCCUGGCUUAACUGGGGGCGUGCGGGCGAUACGGGCAGACUGGAGUACUGCAGGGGAGACUGGAAUUCCUGGUGUAGCGGUGAAAUGCGCAGAUAUCAGGAGGAACACCGGUGGCGAAGGCG